AAAGUUUCAAAUUGUAUUAAAAAACAUAUCCAUCUAUCAAUCAAUAAGAGAAUAUGGGACAUUGUUGUGUGAAGUUUAAUGCAGCCUUAAAAAUAAUUACGUAGGAAAAGUGUGCUGACUUAAGUGGAUGUCUGACAAAUGUUGUUUAUGGCAAUGAGGAAGGGAAGCUACAGAAUACGUCCAAUGUGAUAACACGCAUGUACAAAACCAUACACUUCCAUUUCUACAGGUAUUAAUGCAUACAGAACUUCAGAGAAGAGGUCUGGAAAUGCCAAUGGUGUUGAUGGAAAUGGGCCCCAUACUGAUGAAAUGAAAAGGAGUCUCAGAACGUCCGUGUUUAUCCUCUUUACUGCAUAACUGCCGAGAAUAAUCACUUGGGAUUCAGUCUGGCCCUAGAAUCUCUCAAUAUUAUUUCCACAUUUAAAUUGUCAUUUAAUCUUCAUAUCAAACUAUUGGUCAUUCCAUCAUUUUCAAAGAUUUGGGGAAGAAAUAUUUUUAAUCUAUAUUAUGAAGAGCAAGAUGUCGCUUUAUAAUGAAACAUCAGCUCUUAAUUGAUAUUGAGAUAUUGUUAGAUAUUAAAUUGAAAAGGUAACCUGAUAUUCACAGAGAUAUUGAUAUUAAAUUGGGAAGUUACAUGAGCUAUUUGUAUUAAAUUAGAAUACUAUUAGAAUGGAUAUUUAACAAUAUAUAUUUUUUGUUUCUUCCCAAUGCAAGUAGAAAAGGUACUUAUUUUUUUCUUUUUUGCUGAAUGAUCCAAAAAAGACCUGCCCGUCUCCACCCCAAACAGUCUCUCUUCUUGCUACACUCUGGGAUCUUGCUCUAUGCUGCUGAAAAUGAGCUAAACACAGAUAUGACAGGGUACUGUUAGCAUGAUUUGCAUACCGUACAGGAUACUAUUACAACACUUGUCUUCCUUCCUUCUCUACAUUUGUUCCAAUUUAAUAUCAAUAUUCAUUAUAAUAGUAUUUGUCGAGUCUAUAGGAAUAGAAAAAUAUAAAAGCACAAUUAUAGUAUUUGAUAAUUGUGUUCACAGUUUAAUGAACAAACAAAUAAAUAUGCCAGUAACUGAAAUUACAGUGAAACAAGAACUAUGAAAAGAUUGUACAAAUUGCCAAAGGGUAAAUGGAUCGUGGAAGCCUGGGGAAGAGAGCAGUCAGAGAUGGCUGAAAGGAGAAGAAAGUUAUGAAGAAAAGGUGAUAAAUCAAUAGCAGGGCAAGGAGAGAAAACGCAUUCCGAAUAAGGGAUCACCAUAAGCAGAAACAUAGUGACUUAGAAGAGCAUAGGGUGUUCAGGGAAUGGCAGGUAAUUUAGUACAGCUAAAGAAACAUAUGGUAGACAGACAUGGAAUGAGGCUCAGGAGGCAAAAUGUCCAGGAUUUGGAAUUUUAUCCUGAGGUUACAGAACCAUGGAAGGUUUUAUACAUUGGGGUAAUUUAUUGGUACUGCAUCACUAAUCCAGCCCAUGUUAGGGUCAGGAUGACAAUUAAAAUGCUAUUGCAACCUUUCACAGAAAAAAAAUGAUGUGGGCCAAAUCUAAGGGCAUAAAAUUGAGAUUAAAAAGACAAUUUAAGGAUAUUGAAGAGGCAGAAUCGAUAGAAAUUAGCAAACAUUUGGAGGUGCAGAGGCUGAUGAAGAAGAGAGUUGAGGCUCACUGAGAAAUUUUUGGCAGAGGCAGCUUGAUGAACAAAAAGUCUUGCUAAAGGAUAACUUUAAUUUGAUCAUCCUUGAAAUUGCAGAAUGAUAUAAUUAAAUUAAGGGAUACCAAAGCAUAAGAGAAGUGGAACUGAAGCUUCAUAAUGAAAGUUUUAUCUACACUUCCUUUGUGAAUUACGCUUUAACAAAAUAAGAGCAACUCUGAAUUUUCUAAACGUUGACUUUCCCCAAGUAACAGAAUGACCACUGUCAACUCUGACAAUCCUAGUUUGACUCGGAGCCUGAUAUGUCAAUUUUCCUUGCCGUGAAGACUCAGAUAUGUAAUUUCUUUCUAAACAUUGUGAAUAAUUAAUUCUGUCUGACUAAUGACCCAAGAUUGGGUAAACGAGAAGAAGAGGAACAUUUACUAUAUAAUAGAUUAAGUGAGGUCAAGCAAAUAUGUUUAAUGUGAACACCUGCUAUUCCACACAUAAUGAGUUAUUUUAGAAGUUUCAAGUUGAAUGAGCAUAAAAGCCCCUGCGGAAACAGAAAUAUCUCCACCCAAAACGGUCUCUCUUCUUGCUACACUCUGGGAUCUUGCUCUGUUGCUGAAAAUGAGCUAAACACAAAUGUGACAGUGUACUGUUGGCAUUAUUCACGUACAGUACAGAACAUUAUUAAAAUGUGAUCUUUGCCCUUCCUUCUUUCUCUACAUUUGUUCAUACCCCAACCUAUCUUCUGCUUCAUCCACAAUUUCAACCAAGCUCCAGAAUUCAGCUGUAUAGGCUUUGUUUGACUUGAAGGCACUGUUUUUCAGAAAGCUUCUUAUACCUGGGCCACACUUUACCUGUGAGGAGUCUCAGCACAGAUUGCUGGGUUACUGGGAAGGCCCAGGACUGAAGAUCAAGGGAUCUGAACUACCAUUUUUCCAUCUCCCCUCAUCUCAAAUUUUUAUUUCUUAAAUUGGAAACAGUCAUUACUCAGCUGCUACAUCAUAGUAAAAACUAAAUAGAAUUAUAUUUUAAGAUAUAUUUUGUAAGCUUAAAAUGCUAUACAAAUGUGAGAGAUUAAAAUUGUCAUCCAAGCUUUCUUAGCCAGUUUAUAUACUUUGUCUUAAUUAUAUUAAAGUUAACUUCACUGUCUUCAUUUGUAUUAUGGGGAUAAAAAUAUUGCAUUACCAGAGUGGUUAAAAGAACAAAAUGAGUGUUGCACAAGUCUUGGAUGUAUUAAAUGUUAAAUAAAAGGUGGUACUCUCGGUAGAAGUACUGGUAUUAUCAAUAUUAUUCUUAUCGAUCCAUUGCAAAGCAAUUGGUGUUUGAUCCUAGCCUGUCUACAGGACACAAACGCCCUGGUUGCUGAAGACUCUGCAGAAUAGAUUGCGCAAAGGAUAUGAUGCAAUUGCACAAUGUAUGUGUAGUAGUACAUUGCUCAUUUAAAUAAUAAGUGCAGCCCAGGUCAUGGCCUUUGCUUUGUACUAGUACAGCAUUACCCUCUGCUAAUACGUAAAGCUUUAUGAGGCAGCAAGGCUAAUCUUUCUUAGGCUCUUAGCCUCAAUGAAAUGAGGGCUCAGACAGUAUCCUGUGUGCAUUUUAAGCCAUCACUGUCAGUGAACUUAAGCUGUUACUUCUGCCCCUUCCCCUGAAGAUGGGGUUGCUACAGGCAAGUAAGUAUCAUUACCAUUUCAGGUAUGAGAAAUGCUUAGCCUGCCUUUGAUUUUAGAUCCUAGAACCUGAGAACUGAACAAAACUCUAGAGGUCAUUUGGCUCAACCCAUUAACUGUCCAGAAGAUGAAAGUAGGCCCAGAGAAAAAGUGACUUGCCAAAGGUUAAACAGCUUUUAUCAAUGCAGAAACCAGGCAAGAUUUCCUGACUCCCAUCUAGGGCUUGCUUGCUACUUUAUUCUUCACUAGUUUAAUUUGGUCUCCAUUGGCCAAGACCACCUCAUUGCUGGCUUUCUGAGGCCAAGCACCUGGGUGGUUUCUUAUCUGAGUAUUGGACUGCAGCCAGGCAUGUGAAUGGACAGGGAUGGCUGACUCAGACUUUGGAACACUUCAUGCCUAAGGGGUAAGGUACAGCCUUAAAGAAGGGUGUGGGCUCUGGGCGCUUCCCCAUACCUCCAAAGUUGUGUCAGCAUGACUGGCUGAGUAAGGGGGAAGGAGCAUGGUCUCAUCCUGCAGGGCUCCAGCUAAUAGAUUCUGGGACGUAGAGCAACUUUGAUUACUUAGCCAACUUGGGAUAUGUUUAACACAGGUAAACAGAGCAGUGAACUAGCAGGGAGACAGUGCAGAAAGAGUGAAAAAGCUUUCUUAUUAUUCAUGCAUUUAUUCAUUUUUGCAAGAGGUAUUUAUUACACAAAUAUUCCAGUCUACACAACCAAGUAAUAUGACCCAUAUUCUCAAAAAUUUUAUGGUGAAACAUGAGAGAUGGCAACUAAAGAGCCAGGCUUUGGCCAGGCGUGGUGGCUCACACCUGUAAUCCUAGCACUUUGGAAGGCUGAGGCGAGUGGAUCACCUGAGGUCAGGAGUUCAAGACCAGCCUGGCCAACAUGGUGAAACCCCGUCUCUACCCAAAAUACAAAAAUUAGCCAGGUGUGGCGGCGGGCGCCUGUAAUCCCAGCUUUACGGGAGGCUGAGGCAGGAGAAUUGCUUGAAUUCAGGAGACAGAGGUUGCAGUGAGCCGAGAUUGCGCCAUUGCACUCCAGCCUGGGUGACAGAGGGAGACUCUGUCUCAAAAAAUAAUAAUAAAUAAAUAAAUAAGCCAGAUUUUAUGCAGUGAGAUAUGUGCCGUAACAGUGGUGAACACGAGGCAUUGUAGAAACUCCAAAGAAGGCUGUAUUGGGUGUGUUUGUAUUGUGCAUGUGUGUGGUGUUCAGGAAGGCUUUCCUGGAGGUGAUGUCUGAGCUGAAUCUUUAAAGAUGCAGAAGGGAUAUAAUGUCAGAGGUGUGAGAAAGCAUGGUUGUUCUGGAAAAUGGGUAAUUCAAUAUGGCCAGAGAAUGGAAUCAAAAGUAAGGAUUAUUACAAGACGCUUGGCAUGUCACUUUUAACUGGUAAAAAUGGUCCACUUCACCUUGCUACUGAGCAAACAGAAACUUAGGGGGAUUAAGCCAUUCUCCCAAGACUACCAGAGAUAUCAAGCACCAAACCAGGAUUAGCUCAGAUCUUCAUUUUUCAAAUGCCUUUUAUACUAUAAACUCCGAAGAAAAUAUUUAAAAUUAUCUCCAAGGCUUCCUCAACUUAGAGAAGAAGGAGUAGUUUGGAACUGAAGUCCCAUUUUCUUAUGGAAACCAUGGCAUAUAUGUUGGUUCAGGAUCCAAGUUUGUCCUGCACAAAGCAACUCAGCCCAUAAUGUACCUAUAAUACUUUACAAAAAUAAUUACAGUAACUGGCUGUCAAAUAUAACCAAGUUUGUAUAAGAAAAUGUGCUUCAAUUUGGAAUGCUUGAAAAAUCUCACCCUCCCGAAGUGGGAGAUAGACACUUGCAGAUCCUGAUUGACAGGGCCCAGGAAACCAGGGAGGAUGAAUAUCCAUGAAGAACAUGACCAUGGGAUCCUGGGGACCUGAAAAUUGUGGGGCCGAACAUCUUUUCUAGGACAAAUUCCCCAGGGACACCUUGCAGCCUGCAGUCUUUUGUCUUCUUAUCAUUUCUUUUCUUCAGAAAACCCUUCCAUGAUGCCACCCAAGAUGUGGGACUAUGUUUUUCUCCUCUCUGAUGUCCCAUAGAUCCUUCCUGCCUGCCUGACACAAGCACCAAAAACUUUGGAAGUUCCAUUAAAGACUAGAAACUAUGAAAAGUUAAGGAAUAAAAAGAUAUCUGGCCAGGUGUGGUGGCUCACGCCUGUAAUCCCAACACUUUGGGAGGCAGAUCACCUAAGGUCAGGAGUUUGAGACCAGCCUGGUCAACAUGGUGAAACCCCAUCUCUACUAAAAAUACAAAAAUUAGCUGGGCGUGGUGGUGGCGCCUGUAGUCCCAGUUACUCUCCUGAGUCUGAGGCAGGAGAAUUGCUUGAACCCAGGAGGCGGAAAAUGAAAAACAGAGUGAGGGAAAGUUGGCGUGCAGGUGCUUUUCUGUGUCUGAGUCCCUGAGGCCUCCUGUAACCACACUCCUGGGUGCUCAGGAGUAGAAAAGGGGAUAGUGGAGAGAAAAACAUAAUUAAAAAACACAUGGCAGUCCCUGCUAUUACUGUCCUUUCACCAACGUUAUCUUCCUGCUCUAACAAUAACAACAAAUAUAUAUCUUCUGCUUUAGCAAUUCCCCCAAAAUGUUUAGCCACUUAAACAUUUUAAAAUACAAUCAUUAAAUGUGAAUCAUGGAUUACUUCAGUGUAAAUACUGGAAGGAAUCUCAGAGGUGAUUAGUGAAACCUUUUUAUUUUACACAUAAGGUAACUGAGGUACACAGAGAGAUCUGAGAUUUUUUCGGGUUCACAAAGGGAGCGAGAGGCACGUGCAGAACCAGAAUCUCUCACUUGCCUGACCCCAGACAGAGACACUCUGCUGCUCUGCGCUGCUAUUGAAAUUGACAGUCAACAGAGCAUUUUCAAAUGUAUUAUUCAAAAAACUCUGGGUUUGGCACAACUCAGAUGGGUUAAAACGAUUUUCCUGAAGCCACACAGUUACUGAGACACCUGUAAACAGACCCCAGAUCUCUUAGAUUCCAAAUCCAAUGCCCAUAAGACUGUAAAGAUGGCCAUGUGGAGUUUUCUCCAAAAAUGUUUAACCUAUGGAAUAAGUUGAGAACUUAAAAACAAAUGAUCACGGUAGACAAUUUCCCUUUUGGGUAAUCCCGGAGAGCAAAAACAAAAUCCCCCCGAAAAAUCAAAGCUUUAAAUUUGAAUGCGCAUCCUUUACUAAUACACACGGCCUGUGAAUUAAGGAUGGAGAAUUAUUCCCUCUGUUUUAUGUGUGAAACUGGUUUCAUAAUGUUUACUUUUUCAUUUGUUAUUAAUUUUGGAUCAUACCACUAAAAAUUAAUUAAUGUGGAUUUCUAUUUCUUAAACAUAGAAAUGAGUUAAUAUACAUGAGAAUAUUUUUAUUAAUUUUUUAAUUAAAAAACACUCUCAUGUACAUUAACUCAUUUGAUGUUAUCAUUCCUUCAAUUAAAUUUGUUAUUGUUAUUAUUAUUAUGAUGAUCUCCUCUUUUCACUUAAGAAACUGAAGUCCAAAACCUCAAAGUUAAUAAACAAUAGCAGAAACCUAUGUUUUCCGAUUCUAAAUCUAAUAGGUUAAACAUUGAUUCUGGCAUAUUUCUAAUUAUUUUUGUUGUAUCUGUUUCAAUCUCAUGGAUAAAAACAUUUCACAACCACAUUCCCACAUAAUACUUGUAUAUUUAAUUACCUACUUCCUUCUAGGUAGACAGUGGACCUAUAGCUUUCAGGCUGUUGGAUCAUUAUGUGUUGUAUAAUGAUUGGUUUUGCUAUAAACACUGCCAUUGAAAAGGCUGUCAAAAUGCAUUCAGAAAGACUCAGCUGCCAAAUACAGUAGUCGCCCCUUAUUCAUGGGAGAUAUGUUUUAAGACCGCCAGUGGAUGCUUGAAACCAUGGAUAGUAUGAAAGCUCACAUAUACUAUGGGUUUUUUUUUUUGACUGAUAACCCAGACAACUACGAAGUGACUGACGGGCAGCUAAUGUAUACAGCGUGGAUACACUGGACAAAGGAAUGAUUCACAUGCUGAGCAAGAUGGAGCAAGAUUUCAUUAUGCUUUUCAGAAUGGUGCACAAUUAAAAACUUAUGAAUUUCUGGAAUAUUCCAUUUAAUGCUUUUGGACUGUGGUUAACCACUAGUAACUGAAACAAUGGAAAGUGAAACCAUGGAUGAGAAGUAGGUACUAGUGAACAAGUUUCCAGUUAAAUGUUCAAAUUCAAUCUGCUCCUCAGUUAAACAUAUGAAUUAUUUUUAAAUGUAAAAAUUUUGUAUAUAUUCCUCUGGACAAUGAAGAUUAAACAGAAGAAAGAUGGUAAAAAAAAAUUUAAACUCAUGGAGUACUGUAGUAUCCAUUUUUUAUCUUUUUAAAUUAUUUUAUUAUUCUUUUAUACUUGGUCAAUGUAAAGUUUUGUUAAAUCUGAUUUGAUUCAGUUAGGUCCAUACUUAACCUACUUUUAGUACAAAAUAUGAUUUUUUUUCCAGGUUCCAAGCAAGUAGGUUUAUUUUCAGUUGCCUGAGUAGAUAUAUCUAUGGCCAGUAUAUGCAAUAGAUAGAAGCUCAAAGCCAGAGAAGUUUCAUUCUCCGGGGUCCAUGUGAUGUGUUUGAUUCAACUGAUUAUAAGGUACCCUGAAAAAAUACGUUGUCAGUGCUGUAUGCUGUAGUUUAUUUCAAAAUAAGAUACACACAACCAUUGGGACUGAGAGGCUGGGUUGUUUUGUCAAGGUCAACAUUUAACUCUAUUCUGGAACUGUUCUCAGAAUUAUGAAAACCAGAAUUGCACUCAGAACUCAUGUUUUUGUUUGUUUUUGAGAUGGAGUCUUGCUUUGUCGCCUAGGCUGGAGUGCAGUGGCGCCAUCUAGGCUCACCGCAACCUCUGCCUCCCAGGUUCAAGCAAUUCUCCUGCCUCAGCCUCCCGAGUAGCUGGUACAACAGGCACGUGUCAUCACGUCAGCUAAUAUUUGUAUUUUUAGUAGAGAUGGGGUUUCACCCAUGUUGGUCAGGCUGGUCUUGAACUCCUGACCAUGUGAUCCACCCGCCUUGGCCUCCCAAACUGUUGGGAUUACAGGCGUGAGCUACCGCGCCUGGCCAGAACUCAUUUUUAACCACCGUCAAGCAACAAUUUAAAAACAAGUAUGAAUAAAAUUUAACUUUUAUAUAAAACAAAAUCAACUGAUAAGGUUUUUACAUCUUAAGUUACAAAGGAAGAUUGCAUUUUUAUCAAUAACUUUUCUAAACAAAUUCUUUUUUCUUUUUAGGAACAUUUCUUUUGCAAACAGUAAGCCCAUCUAAAUUAAUUCAUAUGAUAAGGGGAUUUCUAUCUCUCUUUAUAAAUCCUGAGGUCAGUAAUUCUAGGAAAAUACAGCUGCCUAUGGGGUAAAUUCAUGAUAAUUUCACAGCAUUGACAACACCGCCAUUAAAGAGAGAGCCAGAAAAGUAGUUAAUGGAAUAUGCUCAAGAACAUUGUUUAUUAUAGACAAUUUAAUAUUUUCAUGAUAAAAUGUAACUGUGAUAAGACAUUAGUUAUUUAUAUCUUUACUAAUGUACAUGUCAUAAAAUAUUUAUGAAAUGCCAGUAACGCAUUAGACUUCUAAAAUUAAACACUGGACUUAAACAAAUUAAAAGCACAUAAGUCUAAUUUCAAUUAUUCUAAUACUGAUAAAAAUGUUGUGAGCAAUAUAUUUCAAAACUUUUUUUUUUCAAGAAAAGAAUACUGAUUAAUAAUAUUUCUUUUAGAAGGUUUAUUUUAGGUCUUUAACUCACACACACACACACACACACAAACGUGGCAUAUGCUAUUCUGAAUUCCUGGAAUGGCAGAUACUUACAGUCUUUCUUUCUAUUAAGUGUAUCCUAUAUGAAGUGCAACUUUUUACAAAAAACAAGAAAGUGAUUAUAAUCUCAGCUUAAAGAGAUAGAGUGUAAGAAUAAAUCAAAUGGUGAACUCAGGAUGUAUAUCUACCUCCUUCUCACCUUUGACACAUUUAGAAAUCAAUAUAGGCCGGGCGUGGUGGCUCACGCCUGUAAUCCUAGCACUUUGGGAGGCAGAGGCAGGCAGAUUGCUUGAGGUCAAGAGUUCGAGACCAGCCUGGCCAACAUGGUGAAACCCCAUCCCUAUUAGACAUACAAAAAAUUAGCCGGGAGGGGUGGUGUACACCUGUAGUCCUAGCUACUCAGGAGAAUCUGAGGCAGGAGAAUCUCUUGAACCCAGGAGGCGGAGGAUGCAGGGAGCCGAGAUUGUGCCACUGCACUCCAGCCUGGGUGACACAGAGAGAUUCUGUCUCAAAAAUUAAAAUUAAAAAAAAAAGAAAUCGUGCUAUAUAUGUACACAUGUAUGUACACAUAUAUGUAAAAUUAUAAACAUAUGAUACAUAAGGUACUUAUCUUUUUUACAUAUAUAAAGUUUUAAUCAAUAUGAAUGAGUUACACUGCUGAAAAACAGGGAAACUUCACUUCUGUUGAGUAGAAGUUAUAAUAGAUCAUGAUUAUAAUAUAUACAUAUAUUAUAAAACAGAAUUUGAUUAUUGCGAUCGUAGCUCUAUAAUUAUAAAAGGAAGCACAGUUGUAAAAGGUAGAAAUGACUCUGUAGCUGUGUUUGCCAAGUUCAAAAAGUAUAAUAUAUUUUAUACUGAUUAUAACUAUAAAAGGAAGCACAGUUGUAAAAGGUAGAAAUGACUCUGUAGGUGUGUUUGCCAAGUUCAAAAGUAAUAGAGCCUUAAGCAGGGAAGUGUCCUAGGACAACCUUUAGGGUAAUUUGUAGAGAGAUCUUCUCCCCACAUGUCUUACUCUGUUGUCAGACAAUGAACCGUCAGGUAAAAUGGGCUUCUUUUCCAACAAAAAAGCAGUAACUGACUGCUUAGGCCUGAAGACACAGGGUGGGCUUUGGAUAAUUGGUUACAUUUACAAGGAUAAAGAAACACUCAUAUUUACAAUGCUGUUAGGAUAAUCUGACAUAUAUCACAUUUCUUUCUCUUUUACAAAUUUAAAGAUAGCCUGAGGAAGAAAAAAAUAAUACUCUCAGAAAGGGUAAUCAUUCUUAAAUACAAAGAUAAAGAGACAAGCUGGAUUCAUCAAACACUUGAAGAAAACAAGUAACAUGGGAGAGAGAGAGAGAGAGAAUCACCAACUUUAAUAAACAUACAUCAUCCUAGGAACUAGAGUUCCUAGUGCAAAAAGAUACUUUGAAAUGUAUUAGUAUCUUCAGAGUAAUAAGAGAGUUUAAUAUAUUCAUGAAUCAAUAACUUGGUUGUAAAAAAUAUUACCAACUAGAGAUCUUGAAAAUGAUUGCCAAAAGUAAAAUCACAGUAAAUGAAUGGGAUAGUAGAAUAGCUGCAGCUGAAGAUGAAUCUGAUCAAUUUUUCCAAAAUGCAGGGGAAAGGUACAAAAUAAAGUACAUCAGAAAAAUUAAAAGACAACAUUGAUCCAAAUUUUAAUACUCAUUUCAAAGGAAGAAAAAUAAUGUAAUAGAGGUAAUAACCCAAUAACAAUACUAUUAUUGCUACUACAACCAAUGACAUAAAUACACAGAACUGAUGACAUCAUUCUUUACAUUGAAAAGUCUACCAAUGAGAACACUUGGACACAGGAAGGGGAACAUCACACAC
rnacentral:lncRNA from 1 species